rnacentral:tRNA from 1 species
UAUGAUAUUAGUAUAUAAAGUACAUCUUCCUUCCAAGUUGAAAGUUUAAAUUAAAUAUCAUAU